GUAAAGCGUAACACACCCCUGUUCACAGUAGCCUUGUGUUAACGAGACGACCCAUCCCUAGCUUGCAGCGUUUGAAUUCUACCAUUUCUAGUGUGAAUAUCGUUUAUCAAAGCUUUUAAAGGAGAGUUUGGUUGUACACCCACUCAGUUGGGUUCUUGUAAAUCUGUCAGACUAUGGCGUAAUCAAACUCCAUAACUAAGGCUCACUGUCAUUUGGCUGCAAAGUUUUCCUUCUUACCCAAUGCUUUUGCAUUUUAGACUUCCGAGGGCGCCGGAAAUCUAAAAGUUAUAUCAUCAGAUCAACAAUCAACCAAGUAGCUCAUGAACAAGGAAUGGAUGUUCCAUAUUAAACCUUCAACAGGAAAUUGCCUAGGUUCUUCAUAGUCAGGCGACAUAUUCCAGCGUACUUGUAGCAUUAAAUUUCCUGUCGACUGAUCUGAAGACUGUGUUAAAACUUCCCAUUUCAUCUUCUUUUCGACAGUUCGUCAGUAGAUAGAAAAGGACUAGCUAUAUUUGCUCCUAGCUAUAGCUGAUAGCUAUAAACUAUAUUUGAGUCCUUGUAUACGCAAAUGAGAGACGGAGAUAGUGGGGUCAGUAAUGCACAAGAUUCCAUAAUCGGCCAAAAGCUGCCACAAAAUCUAUUUAGACCGAGUCAUCACUUACGUUCUAGCAAGCGUGACUCUUAUAGUUUAUUUAAUACCAGAAUAUCACUGUGUAUUAUUGGGUUGAUUCGAAAAUGGCUUUAUCGUCACCUUGAAUGAGAACUGCGUCAAGGAGGAGACCGUGCUGGAAUGCACCUUGUUGUUUGUUAGCCGAUCUUAUUUCCUUUCUUGCCAGUACCAGCUCUGGUUUUAAACUCACUCCAAAAGUAUUUUGUUGUUAUUCACCUUCCGAAUCGCACGGAUACCGGCGCUCGUCGUUGGCAUUUGUUUGCCGGCCUACAACCAAGGUUUCUUAAUCUUCUUCGGCGUCUCUUUUACAUUUCUUUCACUUGGCUCGUUGUGUUCUAAAUCUGUUCGAGGGGGGCGGAUGUUGCAGUAGCCAAAGAUUGUGACGUCUUUAGUUUGAGUCAUGUGAUUCGAGAGCUGCCGAACGAUCCUCCCGUGCGCUGAGGAAGAAAAGGAUCCAAUUUUAUCUCUGGCAAAGUUUCCGUGACUUAUUUUACAUCUUCGUACAGCGGUCAGAUCUGCGUUUGCCUUUCCCCCAAAAGUCGUUGAAGUUGAUAGAACCUCUUCUCGCCCUCGUCUUUAUCGCCGAUGAUAACGCCGUUUUGUGUUAAGCAGUUUUAUCUCAUACGUGUCACGUUUACUGUUGAUUGGAUCGGUGCACCGAGAGAUAACGGCUUCAUACGUGAAUUUUCCCUUAUGACCU
rnacentral:lncRNA from 1 species